UUUCUAGUACUUGGCUUUGUUAAUACCACAAACUCGAACCUACAAAAAUCUAUGAAGAUAAAUAAGAAGUAGCCUUUAGUUGUUCUCAACUCAAAUCAAAAACAAUCAACCAUAUAUACUUGUUAUCUGUGCUGCAAAGAAACAAAGAAUACAAACUAUAUCUAUCUGUUUGACAUUGUUUGUGCAAUGUUGCCAAUGUCCAUCAUGUCUGCGAGGAACCCCAAAGUUCCAACCUUUAUUGUACUGAUGUGUUACAUUUUAAGUAUCAUCAAAAUAUUCAUCAUCUUCUUUCUUCAAAUUCUGGGUUUCGGCAAAUUCAAUGAUACAGAAGAGGAAGUUAUGUAUCCGCAGACAGAAUCUGAUCAGUUGGUUGAAGCGUCAGCCAAUCUCAUUAUAGCAGCUCUACCGGCUGUGAAAUUUGAGGAAUUGAUUUUAGCAGUUUUGUAUGUAGUUGAUACUGGAGAAACCAAGUAGUAUUCAACUGAGUUAGAAGUCAGAAGACGAAUCAGGGAUGAUGGCUAAUAACGUUCAUCUCCUGAAACCUGUGUAUUUUAGAAAACGUUUAGCAUUCUGUUUUGCUGUCGACUGUCGAGCAUACUGAUAAUCUGCAAACUCAAAAGUUUAUAAAAAAUAUAAGCUUUCUAUUGUUUACAGCAAGCUCGACUACAUUGUGUUUCACCCAGAUGAAGAUGACUCUGUAGUUUAACUCGGGUACUUUUACUGUCAAGUCUGCAUAUAAAGUUGCUAUUCAAGACCCUACCACUGCUUCAUUCGGUCUACAGAUUGGCCUCACAAGGUGGGUUUCUUCUUAUGGCAAUGGCAAUGUGUUUCGAAUAGGCUCCCUACAACUGAUAAUUGGCCGACAAGAAAUUAAAAGAAAUUCUGCCUUGGUCAUUUCAAGCGGUAAUCCUUUAAUUAAUCUUUGUUGUUUUUGUAAGCUGGUUGCAGAAGCUAAUGACCAUAUCUUCGUUAGUUGUGUGUUCUCGAAACGUUUUUGGAAUUACUUCUGUUCUGAAUUUAACAAGCAGAUGAAUCUCAAUGGUUCAACUAUGGAUAUCACUCCAAACUGGUCAACAACUCGUUUAUCCGUCUGCGGUAAAGAAGUGUGGAACACAACAUAGCCAAGAACUCGCUCUUCGCUAUGUUGGGUGAUCUGGUUGUUGCGUAAUAAUCGUGUCUUCAACAUCAUCAACGAGAUUAAGCUAACUUUUCUCAGUGGGAAAGAUACUCGCCUUCCAUGUUUCAAUCAAUGAGGUCAUUGUAAAUUUGAGGGAUGCGUUUUUUAAACCUCCUUAGUGUUUUUCUGCUUUGAGGGUCUUUCUUUUGGGUUUUCCUGUGUUGUGUUCUGUUCGGUUGUUGGCUGCUGUUUUGCAUGCUCUACUUUUCUAAUAAAUUCCUUCCUUUGCCGAGCAAAAAAA